AUACUUACCUGGCAGGGGGAUACAAUGAUCACAAAGGUGGUUUUCCUAGGGCGAGCCUUAUCCAUUACACUCCAGAUGUGCUGACCCCUGCGAUUUCCCCAAAUGUGGGAAACUAGGCUGCAUAAUUUGUGGUAGUGGGGGACUGUGUCCCUGCUUUCCCCUG